AUCUCGAGGUUUCCAAUAGUCAGCAUGGCUGGAACGCUGUUCAAAUCUGCUCUUAACCAUUUGCUGAAACAGGGCCUUCUGCUGCAUGUCUCCUCUAGAAUAAUUGAAUAUUUUUGUAUGUGACUUGGUUUUUGAAAUGUUCUGUGUGGAUUCUCACACAGGGAGCAGCUUUGGGUGUGGGUGAAUUGUUAAAAACUGCGAACUUGAGGCAUUUGCCUUCUGCAAAACCUAAAUUGACGUUUCUAGAAAGAAUGCUUUGGAGUCUAAUGAGUUACGCUGUUUCCAAGAAAUGUGCUCUUUCUGUCUUUUAGGCCUAUUACAGGUGAAGGCAAUUCAGUUAUGGUGGUGUAAACCGAAACCGGCUUUGCUGGUGCCAUCACAAAUGUUUUCAAGCACUUAGAGCCCUUGGUUUCUUUCUGUUUGGUUCAUCUGCACAAUCAAUAGGUUGUGCAAAACAGUCAUUAAGAUGACUAUUUUCAUUUUCGGUUUCACCACAGGAGUCUCAAAUAGCCAAGGGUUAUGUGUUUGGGGUGUGUGUGUUUGUUUGGUGUGUGUAUGUGUGUUUGUUUGUUUGCUUGUUUUAAAUCCAGAGCCAAUAACUUAAAUUUCAUCCUUAUUUAGAAGUUUCAGGAAAAGAUUUUUAGUUAGUACCGAUUUUUAGCGGAAUUUGCAGGAAAUCUGCUUCAUACAGAAUACUCGCCUGAGCAGGACGGUUUAGGUGACAUACUUGCUUCUGAUUAAGGAAGGUAUGCUAUCUUCUGUUAGGAAGAUUUCCAAGAUAUUUGUGAAUACUUUUGUCACCAUAUACUGAAAAUUGCCUGCUCAUGUUGGGGCGUAUUCUUGAACAUUACAUCUCUAAAAUUGUGUUCUUCUUUAAUCUGUCCAUUUGGAUGUAAACUGCCACAGAGUGUGUAUUCAAAUAAAGCCUUAUUUGAUUACUAACUCAUCAUGAAAGGAAGUGUCUCUGUUCGAUGGGGAUGUUUUAUGAGUUUGACAAUGGUACUGUUCAUUUGGGAACAUUUUGAAGGAAGAGGAAAAAGUUCGCAGUAAUACUGGAAGAACGGUGUAAAAGAUAAUGUGUGUUUAAUGAAUAAAAUGAG